ACGUACCCCAUGUGCCAGUUCGCCUCACCACCUCGAGCGGGAGGCACAACCACAAUGUGGUCGUCGCACACACCUUAACGACACAACCCUUGGGCCCCGUGCUAGCUGGGCUCCAGAAGUAUCACAAGCUCUUGCGAAUGCAGCAGGCUUCGGGGACUUCGGCCCUCGGCCUAGACCUUGGUAGGUCAUUAAGCUACCCUCGUCAAGACAAUGGUCGAUCCACCGAUGGGCCCCCUCCACUCCCUGCGGGCGGUCGGGCGCCUUAACAGCAUCGGCAUCGCAAAGGACAUGCUACCUGGUUG
rnacentral:misc_RNA from 1 species